rnacentral:lncRNA from 1 species
CUAUAGGUUGGUAUGUACCCAAUUGUGACUAAACCAAAAGAAACAAAUCUGGAAACUGAAGUAUCAAUACGUGAAAAGCGUUCUUUUGGUAUUGGGAGUGCCAGUUGUCUUUGUUUCAUGAACUACUUCUCCGUAAUAGCAUGCAGCCAUCUUCAAGAGGUGAGAAUUUCACUUAGCGACUUAAACAGAAGUGUUAUCUCAAGAUAAUAUAAUAUCUGGAGGUAAAACAGCAUCCCCAGGAUAAACAGCUAUGUCAUUUCUAUAUUGCCUGACCUAAAGGAAAAGAAAAA